AGUGAACGCUGGCGGUAGGCCUAACACAUGCAAGUCGAACGGCAGCACAGUAAGAGCUUGCUCUUACGGGUGGCGAGUGGCGGACGGGUGGGGAAUACAUCGGAAUCUACUUUUUCGUGGGGGAUAACGUAGGGGAACUUACGCUAAUACCGCAUACGACCUACGGGUGAAAGCAGGGGAUCUUCGGACCUUGCGCGAUUGAAUGAGCCGAUGUCGGAUUAGCUAGUUGGCGGGGUAAAGGCCCACCAAGGCGACGACCCGUAGCUGGUCUGAGAGGAUGAUCAGCCACACUGGAACUGAGACACGGUCCAGACUCCUACGGGAGGCAGCAGUGGGGAAUAUUGGACAAUGGGCGCAAGCCUGAUCCAGCCAUACCGCGUGGGUGAAGAAGGCCUUCGGGUUGUAAAGCCCUUUUGUUGGGAAAGAAAAGCAGCAGGUUAAUACCCCGCUGUUCUGACGGUACCCAAAGAAUAAGCACCGGCUAACUUCGUG
rnacentral:rRNA from 1 species